UCAGGCCUAACACAUGCAAGUCGUACGAGAGUUUUUAACUCUAGUGGCGGACGGGUGAGUAACACGUGAGAAUUUGCCUUUAGGAGGGGGACAACAAUUGGAAACGAAUGCUAAUACCCCAUAUGCUUUAGAGUGAAAUGGAUUUUAUCCGCCUAGAGAGAAGCUCGCGGCUGAUUAGCUUGUUGGUAAGGUAAGAGCUUACCAAGGCGACGAUCAGUAUCUGGUUUGAGAGGACGAUCAGACACACUGGAACUGAGACACGGUCCAGACUCCUACGGGAGGCAGCAGUGGGGAAUUUU
rnacentral:rRNA from 1 species